rnacentral:rRNA from 1 species
GUAGUUAGCCGGGGCUUUCUAAUGGGGUACCGUCAUUUUUUCGUCCCCCACAACAGAGGUUUACAAUCCGAAAACCUUCUUCCCUCACGCGGCGUUGCUGGGUCAGGCUUGCGCCCAUUGCCCAAUAUUCCCCACUGCUGCCUCCCGUAGGAGUCUGGACCGUGUCUCAGUUCCAGUGUGGCCGAUCAGCCUCUCAGCUCGGCUACCCAUCGCAGGCUUGGUGGGCUGUUAUCUCACCAACUACCUAAUGGGACGCGAACCCCUCCUUCAGCGGAUUGCUCCUUUGACCUCAUCCCGAUGCCGGGUCGUGGUCUUAUGCGGUAUUAGCACUUGUUUCCAGGUGUUAUCCCCCUCUGAAGGUCAGGUUGUUCACGCGUUACUCACCCGUUCGCCACUAAACAAAAGAAAUAGUAAACUACCUCUAAUAUUCCGUUCGACUUGCAUGUGUUAGGCGCGCCGCCACGCGUUCGUCCUCGACCAACGAUACAAUUACUGA